ACACCUUCCCCUGUAGCACAGAGAGAGAAAAAACAAAAACACAGUCUGUACUCUGUCUCCUGAGAAAGAAAUGCUUUUUUAUUCUGAGACAGGGUCUCAUGCUGUUGCCCAGGCUGCAGCGCACUGGUGUGAUCACGGCUCACUGCAGCCUCGACCUCCUGGGCUCAGAGGAUCCUCCUGCCUCAGCCGCCGGAGUACCUGGGACUACAGGCAUGCGCCACCACAUGCAGCUAAUUUUUGUAUUUUCUUCGAGACAGGGUCUCGCCAUGUUGCCCAAGAGGUCAAGGCCACUGUGAGCCGUGAUCAAAACACCGCGCUCCAUCUAUCCUGGGUGACAAAGCAAGACCGGGUCUCCAAAAAAAAAGAAGAAAAAUUCCAGCAGGAAAGGGAACUGUCACCCAAAGGCUAAGGGUCUGCGGUCUGACCAAAGCGUCUUCCCGGAGCCUUCAGUGCUCUGUUCAGCGGGAGCCGGACGGAGCCAGGCAGUGCCUGCGACUCCAGAGAGCAGCGCUUCUGACUCGGGAAGGGCUGCUGCCAAGAGUGGAUUUUUUUUACCAUAUGCAAGUAUGAAGAUGCUGGGUUUUUUUUGUUGUUUUUUUUUUGUGAGAGUCUCCCUCUGUUGCCCAGGCUGGAGUACAAUGGUGCGAUCUUGGCUCACUGCAACCUUCGCCUCCUGGGUUCAAGCGAUUCUCCUGCCUCAGCCUCCCGAGUAGCUGGGAUUACAGGCAUGCGCCAGCAUGCUUGACUAAUUUUUGUAUUUUUACUAGAGACAGGGUCUUACCAUGUUGGCCAGGCUGGUCUCAAACUCCUAACCUCAAAUAUCCUCCCACCUUGGCCUCCCCGUGAGCCACCGUACCC
rnacentral:antisense_RNA from 1 species